UGGCUCCUGAAGAACAGCAAAACCCUGAAAAGUAAAGAUGUGUUCCAUUGUUUGGCAUAGGGCUGGACAACCUGUGACUGCUCAAAUGUUGUUGGCCUUCAUGUCACAACAACUCCAGCCAGCGAAGCCAGUGGUGAGAAACAGAGGCCCAAUGGCUGUUUCCUCUGGAUGGCACGUGAUCGCCCUUCUUUGUAUUCACCAAAGAUGAGGGAUGCACAGAUAUACUACAAUUAUUGGGGACACUGUCCAAUAGAAAGCUCCCCUUUCUUUCAAUGGAGUAGCAUCCAAACAUCAGAAAUUGGAGUUAAAGCCUCCAAAGGAAAAGGCACACUUUCUUCGCAUACAAACCAGAAUCCUAGCACCUCUUUCUCUCACAGUUAAAUACUGGUGGGGCUUUAAAAAUAAUCUGGGGCUUUAAAAAUAAAUAUGAGU